rnacentral:rRNA from 1 species
GAGUUUGAUCUUGGCUCAGAUUGAACGCUGGCGGCAUGCCUUACACAUGCAAGUCGAACGGCAGCAUGAUCUAGCUUGCUAGAUUGAUGGCGAGUGGCGAACGGGUGAGUAAUACAUCGGAACGUGCCCUGUAGUGGGGGAUAACUAGUCGAAAGAUUAGCUAAUACCGCAUACGACCUGAGGGUGAAAGUGGGGGACCGCAAGGCCUCAUGCUAUAGGAGCGGCCGAUGUCUGAUUAGCUAGUUGGUGGGGUAAAGGCCCACCAAGGCGACGAUCAGUAGCUGGUCUGAGAGGACGAUCAGCCACACUGGGACUGAGACACGGCCCAGACUCCUACGGGAGGCAGCAGUGGGGAAUUUUGGACAAUGGGCGAAAGCCUGAUCCAGCAAUGCCGCGUGUGUGAAGAAGGCCUGGUGU